GACACAACAAUGUCAGUUAGCUGCUCUGACAAGAUCACUCGUUGGAAUGUUCUUGGAGUUCAAGGAUCUCUGCUUUCCUACUUUCUUCAACCUGUUUAUCUUUCUACGAUCACUGUUGGACAGUCGCCUAGCGUUUUUCAACAUAUUCCAUUGGAGAACCACUUGCAAAGAUCUUUGUAUGAUCGAAUCUUACCAUUGUCAAAUAAUUUGACUGUUCCCUUUCAAAUAAACAAGCC
rnacentral:misc_RNA from 1 species